GAUGAAGAACGUAGUAAAAUGCGAUACUUGGUGUGAAUUGCAGAAUCCCGUGAACCAUCGAGUUUUUGAACGCAAGUUGCGCCCGAAGCCUUUUGGCCGAGGGCACGUCUGCCUGGGCGUCACGCAUCGCGUCGCCCCCCCACAAUUCUCCGUAAAGGGAACUUGUGUUUUGGGGGCGGAUAUUGGUCUCCCGUGCUCAUGGCGUGGUUGGCCGAAAUAGGAGUCCUUUCGAUGGACGCACGAACUAGUGGUGGUCGUAAAAACCCUCGUCUUUUGUUUCGUGCUGUUGCUCGCAAGGUAAACUCUUUAAAAACCCCAAUGUGUCGUCUCUUGACGACGCUUCGACCGCGACCCCAGGUCAGGCGGGACUACCCGCUGAGUUUAAGCAUAUCAAUAAGCGGAGGA
rnacentral:misc_RNA from 1 species